UCCCUGGUGGUCCAGUGGUUAAGACUCUGCCCUUAUAAUGCAGUGGGCACAGGUUCGAUCCCUGGUUGGGGAA